rnacentral:misc_RNA from 1 species
GAUAAUGCUGAUGCUGCGGGAGAGGUGCUGCUUCAUAUCAGAGCAUUUAACUUGUAUUCUUUUUGAUAUUCUGCUUCAUGCAUUGAAAGCAAGUGCAGCAUUUUUCAUAUUUGCUUGGCAUGAGUCCCAUUGCUAUGUUAUUAUUGAUGUUAGUCUAUGGAUUGUGUCAGCUGGCCUAAAUUUGCUAAUGACAUGUUGAUCAUGAUGCUAACAUUUUUUUUCAUCAAUGAGGAAGCAAAAGAAUUAAAAUAAUAAGUAAAUAAAUAUAAA